CCAAUGGUCUGAAUAGGAAAGCAGGGUUUUAAUUGUUCUGAUUCUGCCUCCAAAAUAUUGAUUUAGGACGUUUAAUACCAUCUCCAAAUGCCAGGCUUAAUUUGCAUUGGGUCAGAAGCUGGGCUGCCAAGUGUUGGCUGUUGAUUUUAGGUGGAGAAUUGGGAGGUCCUCCUGGCCAGCCAUGAGCAAGCUUCACCUGGGACUCAGGAGAACUAGCCAGUGGAAGAGGCCGAGUCUUUGAUGGAUUUUCACUGUUUAAUUAACAUGCAGCUGGGAUCUGGGCCGCACCGUACCUUUCAAGCAAGAUAUGUGUCAUGGGUUGAACAACUAACCCAGGCUGAGCCAAUCUGGCCAGGGCAGAGCCCAGACUUUGGCCUGGCUUCCCCGUUACCCAGGAAGCCUGUGCUUCUAACUUUUAGAGGCUCCGGCGCUCAUCUUCAGCAGCCCGAUUCUCCCGGCACUGACCACUACCUCCAGGAGUAUCUCAGAAUCAGAGUUCAAAAGCUGACCAAUGGCUCCCAAACAGAGCCCCUGAAGACCUGUGUAAAGCUGUUCUUCGGUAAACACAUUCGGUGCUCUUAGUUUACUAUCCGGGGACUACAGAAAGUCUACACUCAUGAUUCAUUAAAGUCUUUUUUUUUAAAUUAUACAGUUGACCUUUGAACAACAGCAGUUUGAGUUGUAAGACCCACUUAUAUGUGGACUUUUUUCAACCAAACGUGAAUCAAAAAUAAAGUAUCUGCAAGAUGCAAAACCCAUGUAAAAACUUCCAUAGGGCCUCUUCUUUCUUUUUUUUUUUUUUUUUGAGAUGGAGUUUCGCUCCAGUUGCCCAGGCUGGAGUGCAAUGGCCUGACCUUGGUUCACUGCAACCUCCACCUCCCGGGUUCAAGCGAUUCUCCUGCCUCCACCUCCCAAGUAGCUGGGAUUAAAGGCAUGAGCCACCACGCCCAGGUAAUUUUGUAUUUUUAGUAGAGAUGGGGUUUCACCAUGUUGGUCAGGCUGGUCUAGAAUUCGUGACCACAGGUGAUCUGCCCACCUCGGCCUCCCCAAGUGCUGGAAUUACAGGCUUGAGCCACCACGCCCAGCCUGUAGGGCCUUUUCAUAUAGGUGGAUUCCGUAGAGCUGACUGCAGGACUUGAGUGUGCUCGGAUCUGGGUAUACACAGGGGUCCUGGGACCAAUCUCUUGUGUAUACAGGAGGAUGAUUGUAAUCAUAAUGGAAAAUUUCAGAUAUACCCAGAGUAGACAGAAUACUACAGCAACUCUCCACAUACCCACCACCAUUCUACAACAAGGAACAACUUGUGCCUACUCUUGAUUCCAUCUUUACCUUGACCCCUACACUGCAUUAUUUGAUGCAAAUCCUAGACAUUUCAUUGUGUCAUCCACAAACAUUUCAGUAUGUACCUUGAAAAGAUAAGGACAUUUUUGGUAAGAUAACCAAAACAUCAUUCUCACACCCAGUAAGCUAACAAUGAUUCCUUAAUAUCAUCAGAUCUCCCAUGAGUGUUUACAUUUUCUUGAUAGUCUCAUAAGUGACUUGUAGAAGUUGAUUUGUUUGAAGCAGGAUUCAAAACAACUAGCUGGGUUUUGACUUUGAAUUGUGUCUCUGGUGGCUUUGGAUCUCUCAUCUUCUUUCUUCUUCCCUUCAAUCCCUUCCUAGCACAGUAGUUGUGUGGGGGCAUUCCAAGCCCAGUGAUACCUCUUACUAAUAAUAUGGCCUUGGACGUGGAACCAAGCUCUCUGCUUCAGCUUCCUCAUCUGAAAAAUGAAAAUAAUAAUAAUUCCCUAUCCCAUAGGGUUUUGUAAAAAUUCAAUAAAAUAGUAAGUGUGAAAUGCUUAGAACAGUGCCUGGCAUAGGGCAAAUACUUGAUUAAUAUUGGUUUUUAUUGUUUCUCUUUUUCUAAAAGGCAAUGACUUCAACAGCAUCCAGGCAACCACAUAAUAGUUAUAUGUGGGAAGAAAACUGAGUAAAAACUUGUGCAACCACACAUUUUUCCCAGACCUCUGAGCUACUAUUCAGAGGAAGGUAGAGGAGCGUGCCACUCAAGAGCAAGCUUCUGGAGCCAGACUGUCUGGGUUCAAAUCCAUGUCUUCCACUUGCUACCAGUGCCAAAAUGAAACAUGUGUUUGCUCAAACCCAUUUCCUUUCCCCUGGGGCCAAGAACAAAAUUAUAUUUCUCUUGCACUUAGGUGUGGCCACAUAGCUGAGUUCUGGCCAGUGGGAAGUGGCAGAUGUGACAUACGCCACAUUCAGGCUGGUCCCCCAAGACCUCCCACUGAGUCCUUGCUUUCUUUCUCACCCACCAGCUGAGUGAUGAGGAUUUGAAAAACCUUCAGGAAGGUAGAGCCAUAAGAUGAAAGGGGCCUGGAUCCCUGAAUGACCAUGUGGAAGACAACUCAAUCAAAAACAAUGCCACCAGGUUGUGCUGUAAGCAAGAAAUAAGCUUAUUAUGUUAAGCUUCCAAGAACUUGGGGCUUAUCUGUUACAGCAGCUAAUGUUAUCUUAACUAGUACACUAGUCUUGACUUUGGGCAAGUUACCUGGUCUCUCUGUGCCUCAGUUUCCUCAUCUGUAAAGGGGCAAAGAUGCUAAUAUUAAUAUGUAUUUUGUGAGGUUGUUAGGAAGACCAAAUAUGUUAACAAAUGUAAAGCUACCACAUUACCUGGCCCAUAAUCGCACUUUGUAAGUGCUUGUCCCUGAUGCACUUACAUUAUUAUUGUUGUUAUUAACAGUAGUAUUAUUUGAAAAAUAAUGGUACAUCAUCAAGAAUGUCUACAUUUCACUUACGUGUAAAUCUUUGCUACUUUUCUGGUAUUUUUUUUCUUUCUUUUUUUUUUUUUUUUUUUUUUUCACAAUUUGGGGUUAAAAUUGUUUCCAGCCAACAAUUUCCAAUUUAAUAAUAAAAGCCAGUGAUGUAAUGGGAUUGUAACAAUUUUCUUCACAGGAAAUAUUUCAGGAGCACAGCCAUUCUGCAAGAUGAAACACCUAAUACAAGAUGCAGCAUGUCUCUGGUGUCCCAGUCAGGGUUAAAAAAUGAGUGAAGGAGAUCCAGUGUGUACCUUUCGGGGUUAACAGUCAGAUAACUCAUAAGGCUCAGGACUGAGGAGAUGUGCACUGAACUCUGUAAAAUGUUUAAAUACACUUGAGUGUAUACUCCUAGGUAUAUACCUAAGACAAAGAAAAAUAUGUGUCUAUACCAAAACUUGUACAUGCAAAUUCAUAGUCACAUUAUUCAUAAUUGCCAAAAAGUAUGAAUAUCCAAGUGUCCAUCAACUGAUAAACAAAAUGUGGCAUAUUCAAAUAAUAUUUUUAGUCAUAAAAAGGAAUGAAGGGUAUGGUGGCUCAUGCCUGUAAUCCCAGCACUUUGGGAAGCAGAGGUGGGCAGAUCACUUGAGGUCAAGAGUUCGAGACGAGCCUGGCCAACAUGGUGAAACCCCGUCUCUACUAAAAAUACAAAAAUUAGCUGGGCGUGGUGGCAGGUGCCUGUAAUCCCAGCCAGUUGGGAGGCUGAGGCAAGAGAAUCGCUUGAACCCAAGAGGCGGAGGUUGCAGUGAGCUGACAUCGCGCCACUGCACUCCAGCCUGAGUGACAGAGCAAGACUCCGUCUCAGGAAAAAAAAAAAAAAAAAGGAAUGAAGUACAGAUACAUGCUACAACAUAGAUGAAACCUUGAAAAUAUUAUGCUAAGUGUAAAAGGCCAGUCACAAAACACCAUAUAUUAUUCUAUUCCAUAUAUUAUAUUAUUCCAUUAUUCCACAUAUAUUAUUCCAUUAUUAUAAUAAUAUAUAUUAUUCCAUUUACAUGGAAUGUCCACAGUAGGCAAAUUCAGAGAAACAGAAAGUAGAUUAGUGACAACUUGGGGUUAGGAAAUGGGGAGGGGAGGAGGAGUGACUGCUAAUGGGUACAGGGUUGCUUUUCAGGAUGAUGAAAAUGCUCUAAAAUUGAUUGUGGCAAUGGUUGCACAACUAUGAAUAUACUAAAGACCACUGAAUUAUGCCAUUUAAAUGGGUGAAUUGUAUCUCAAUAAAGCUGCUAUAUUAAAAAAGUGCCCACUCCUCCCAAUGGAUCAGACCACCUCUCCUCUGGACUUGAGCUUCCAUCAGAAGGCAGAGCACGUUCCCAGCUCAUAAGAAGUCUUUGGGAAUUCCAUGCUGUGUGUUAAAAUCCGGUCCAUUUCUGUGUGCAAGUGACAAUGACAUGACACACACAUGCUAAUGAGUCUGAAGUGAAGAUGAGAGGUCAUGGCUGGAAGUGUAGCUUGGGGAGUUAGCAGCAUAUGCAGGUAGGAGAUGAAAUUGUCGUCCACACUCACGUGAAAACUGAUAACCCAUUGAUACCAACCUGCACAAACACAACCUUCCAACCCCAGAGAUACAAGCAGGGGUGUUGUUUUUCUUUUUCACACAAGAGCAUAAGCUAGACCAUGAAUCACACUUCCCAGAACCAGUAAUACUGAAAGGGCUAGGUAGCUGGGAGCCCAAAUUACUUAAAUUGAUGCCAUAUCAUCUGAAGAGGCGACACUGGGAUCUCACAAACUGAACGACAAUUGCCAUCUAGCCAAUUCAUGGCCCUGGACUCCUGUUUCCCACCUGCUCCAACACCAAUUUAAGCAAUUCCGAACUUUGAUCUCCACAGCAGAAUGUCUCAGAUUUAUUGAAGCGUCAGGUCCCAAUUGUGCUAACAUCCACCCUGGCAGGGCCAUUACAAGGUGUGAAAUCUGGGUGCCCAUCACUCCGGCCACGUUCAGCACAGUGACAAUCAGAAGGAACAAAUCAAUCUGCCUCUCUAUAGUCAUCAUGAGAGCCUUGCAAUUUACUGUAAUGAUGGCCAUGGAGGAAAUGCAGGCAAAGGGAUCAUUCUGUUCUCUGGGAACUUGGGCAUGUGCUGAAGGAGCUGCUGAGCCCACCAAGAGAGGCCUUGUAACACUCAGCCAAGAGGCAGCUGCUACUCCUUACAUGGGGCUAUUUCAGGACUUGCCUGUAUCCUGAGAGCUGCUUUAAAAUGGAAUUGUGUUACCCUCCUCCUGUGUUUUGCAAACAGCAUCAAAACUGUUGGUUCCUGCUGCCCCUGCUUCUCCCAGCUGUCAUUAUUAAUUACCUGUCAUCUGCAGGUCUGCCUCACCAGGGCUGAGAGCCAGGGAGAGCUCAGCCUCAUGGUAAAUAGGAAAACCCCUCCCAACAGAGAGGAAAGUUUAUUUUCAAGUCUCAAGUGUGGGAGAAUGGAGUGAGGGAGGCAAGAACCAGGGUCCCUUUGUGAGCCUCCCCACCGACCUCUACUUUGCAGGGCCAGGAGUUCUAAUUCCACAUAGAGACUACAGCAGCCUCUGCCCCUUACUUACUCAGCUAGGGUCGUAACCUGCCUGCUACAUUCUGCCAGGUUCUGUCCCCAGGACUCUGAAUCUGAGACCUCACCCUGGACUCUGAGGAGUCUCCUUGAUUCAGGACUCAGGCACUCAAGAGAUGCCAAGAAUUCUCUGCUCAGAAUCUCUGCACCCUGCCAUCUCACUGCCCACCUCAACAGACCUGGUGUGCCCUGCUUCCUAAACAUGGUGAUUAGAACUACAGACCCCUCCUGAAUUCCUCUCUCCUUCCCCAUCCCCACCAGGGGCUCUCAACACAUCGCACGGCCAAAACCAUGCUAGCCAAGACAGAAAAUGCUUUCAGAAUAAUCGUUUUGAAUUGGAAAGUCAAUGUAAUACUGCAAUUGGCAGAUUAACGAUUCUGCCUAUGAAUGUUUCCUGGAAAGAAACGAGCACAGAGUCUGCUCCACCUGGGUUUAUGUCACCAAGAGAGAAGAAACAGGCCCCCAGCCAAGCCCCUUGGUAGUUCAUCAUCAUCCCCAAGAGAUGGGCUGCAUUUUCAUGAAGAGCCUCAUUCACAGCUCCCCAGAGCCAGGCUGCUUUUCAGAGUAGAAGAGGAGCAUUGCCUCUGGAUUUUAAAAGAGUGGGACAUAGCAGGUACCAAAUGAAUGAAUGGGAGUCCUUGGGCCUCGGAGAAUGCUACACCAAAGCACUGAGAUAAUCUGUGGACAGACUGAUGGCAGUGAUCUUGAGGAAUGAAGAAUGAGAGGUUCAAGAACACCAAAGAGAAAGUUGAAGAAGGCAGAUUCUACAGAGCACAAAGCUGUGAGCUUAUCCAGGAUGCAGAGCAAGAUCCGGCCUUAUUAUUACUGAAGUGAUGGUUAAUGGGGCCCCACACCUACUAACCAUCACUUCAGCACUGAUCAUUGAGAUCCAGCACAUACUCACUAAGGACAGUCAUUUCAAACCAACCCACUGCCUUCUUUGCCUGGGCUUGCAGAAAUACCAUAUGCCGCAGCAAGCAGCUGGAGCUGGGUGGUGGCUGGCCCUUCAGAAGACGUUCUGUGUUCUUCCAUUCAUCCAUUUACAGCCCCUGGAUUAGUUGACAGACUGAAUGAAGGAAUCAGGACUUUACAGUGAAAUAUAACAGGGAUGAAAAUAAGAUCUUACACUUGGUUUCAAAAACCCAACUGAGUAAAUCCAAGAUAGGGAAGGCUGUGAUUUAGGAGCAACAAAUAUAAAAAUGUCUUUGAGUAAGCUGAUAGCAAGCUCAAUGAGAGAUCACAGUGCGACGUGGCUGGCAGAAUAGUUAGAGGCAACCUUAGCUGCAUUAAAAGAACAUUGUGUCUGUGCUAGAAUAAGGGAGAUGACAGUCCUAAUCUGGGGUGGCUGGCUUGCACUACAACUGUACUAUGGUGACUUCUGGAGAGCUCACUUCGAGCGGGUCUGGUAACAGGUUGAUCUGCUAGGUAUUCUCCAUUUCCACCGUCCCCACUGUGAUCUAUUCUCUGCACUGCUCUGUGCCCUAUGGACGCUGCCCCUAUCUAUUGCAGAUCCCUUGCUCUGAUGGCUUCCCACUGGGUUCAGCACCAGUAGGUGAUGCACGGGCAAGAAGACAGAGAACAUGCAGAAUGUGCAUUUAUUGUGCCACUCUCUCCUUGCUCUGUCUGCAUAUUUCGGACAGUAGCUGCAUCCCUCUAUGACUAUAGUUCCAGUCCAGCAGCCCCUCGUCCAUAACCCCAGCUUGUAAUAGGUUCCAAUUUGCUUCCCUUGUCCCUCAGGCCUCGGAGUGAUUAAGAGCUUCCUCCUGUUGCUAGCCCCUAGGGACCUCAGCAUCCCUUCUUAGUUCCCUUAACCCUGCCCACAGCUCUGUCAAUAGCCCUUUCACUAAAUUAUUUUCAAAAUCUCAACUAAAUUGGCCUUCUUUUUCCUGCAGGGACCCUGUCUGAAACUAAAGAGACAGGAUGCAAAAGUCCUUAAAAUUAUGUCUGUGAGGAAUAGAGGAUGUUGGGCCUGGUGGAGAGAAGACUCUAGAAAGCAGGAUAGCCUACUUCAGCAAGGUAGUAAUAAAAGGCCACCCCAGACUCAUUCUCUGGCUCUACCAACAGUGAUAGGUACAGAGAGAUAAAUUUCUACAGAGUAGGUAAAGAUGGUUAUCCUGGUAGGUCAUGAGCUUCAAUAUUUCUCAGUUGCCCCAUCUUAAACUGGAUGAGACUAUGUCAGGAAUGCUGCAAGGAAGAAGUUAGAAACAUGGUCUAGAAAAGAGCUUCCCAAGCCAGGGUUUCAUGAUUUGCCACCAACUGUACACUACUCGAUGGGUUACCAAAAUAACCAAUGUGGGGAAACUUUUGUAUGUUUUUGCUGCUUCUCGUUUCAAUCUAGGGAAUAGAAGUCUAGUUCUUCAUCAAGUCUGAUAAUCCUCAGCGCUGAAGAUGUUUUUAUACUUUAAGAUGACUUACAAACAUGAAAAUUUCACACAGCAUCACAGCUUUCAAAAGGUUAUUUCUAAUUCAUGGAGCAAUCUAUUAAAAACAUUUUUUAGGGGGGAAGAGAAGUUGAUUAAUGGUUACAAAUAUACCAUUUGAUAUAAGAAGACCUAGUGUUAGAUUGGUAAACUAACUAUAUUUUACAAUAACCUCUUGUAUAUUUCAAAAUAUCUAGAAUUCCAGUGGUCUAGCAUAGAGAAAAGACAAAUCUUUAACGUGAUGGAUAUCCCAAGUACAGUGAUUUUGUCCGAGGCAUGUGAACCAGAGCAACUCCAUCUUGAAUGGGGCCAGGUAAAACAAGGCUGAGUGAGACCUACUGGGCUGCAUUCCCAGAAGGUUAAGGCAUUCUAACUUACAGGAUGAGAUAGGAUGUGGGCACAAGAUACAGGUCAUAAAGACCUUGCUGAUAAAACAGGUCGCAGUAAAGAAGUCGGCUAAAACCCACCAAAACCAAAAUGGCGACAAGAGUGACCUCUGGUCGUCCUCACUGAUACACUCCCAGCAGCGCCAGGACAGUUUACACAUGCCACGGCAACGUCCGGAAGUUACCCUAUAUGGUCUAAAAAGAGGAGACAUGAAUAAUCCACCCCUUGUUUAGCAUACCAUCAAGAAAUAACCAUAAAAAUGGGCAACCAGCAGCCCCAGGCUGCUCUGUCUAUGGAGUGGCCAUUCUUUUAUUCCUCUACUUUCUUAAUAAACUUGCUUUCACUUUACUGUGUGGACUCACCCUGAAUUCUUUCUUGCGUGAGAUCCAAGAACCCUCUCUUGGGGUCUGGACUGGGACCCCUUUCCUGUGCAAUUUGAUCUUUACAAAUUAUAUGAAUGUAUUACAUUAUCACAUGUGCCCCAGAACUAUGUACAUCAUGCAUCAACUAAAAAAUGUUUAAAACAAAAAUGUUUAACUCAGCAACUUCUAUCUACACACCAGUCACCACAGUGCUUCUUGAGAACUGCCACCUCGUUUUCAAACCAAAAACCAGGACGCAAAAUCUGUGCAUGGGAAAAAAAAAUAUUUUACAUGCAAACUACCCUGAAAAAAAAAAAAAAAAAAAAGAAUAAGGUCGCCUCAAUUCACUCUGGUGGGGAAAAAACAAAGGUUUUUACGAAAGCCCUGAAUGCCUGAGUUCACAGCAGGCCCAUGACGAAGUUUGUGUCUCACGCAGGUUUUCUCCUUUGGUGGGAGUUUAUUGUGUAUUACACCGAGGGCACGCUAGGUUUGCCA
rnacentral:lncRNA from 1 species